GAUGAACGCUGGCGGCGUGCCUAAUACAUGCAAGUCGAGCGAACAGACGAGGAGCUUGCUCCUCUGACGUUAGCGGCGGACGGGUGAGUAACACGUGGAUAACCUACCUAUAAGACUGGGAUAACUUCGGGAAACCGGAGCUAAUACCGGAUAAUAUAUUGAACCGCAUGGUUCAAUAGUGAAAGACGGUUUUGCUGUCACUUAUAGAUGGAUCCGCGCCGCAUUAGCUAGUUGGUAAGGUAACGGCUUACCAAGGCAACGAUGCGUAGCCGACCUGAGAGGUUGAUAGGCAACACAGGAACUGAGACACGGUCAGAAGCCUAAGGGGAGGCACAGGUGGGAAACUUUCCCAAAUGGGGGAAACCCUGACGGACCAACCCGGCGUUGGUAAGAAAGGUUUCGGGAUCGUAAACCCUUUUAAUUAGGGAAGAGCAAAUGUGUAAGGAACUAUGCCCUUUUGGACGUACCCUAACAAGAAAGCCAGGGCUAAUUCGGU
rnacentral:rRNA from 1 species